rnacentral:rRNA from 1 species
CCUACGGGGGGCUGCAGUGGGGAAUAUUGGACAAUGGGGGCAACCCUGAUCCAGCCAUGCCGCGUGUGUGAAGAAGGCCCUCGGGUUGUAAAGCACUUUCAGUGAGGAAGAACGCCUGGUGGUUAAUACCCAUCAGGAAAGACAUCACUCACAGAAGAAGCACCGGCUAACUCCGUGCCAGCAGCCGCGGCAAUACGGAGGGUGCGAGCGUUAAUCGGAAUUACUGGGCGUAAAGCGCGCGUAGGUGGCUUGAUAAGCCGGUUGUGAAAGCCCCGGGCUCAACCUGGGAACGGCAUCCGGAACUGUCCAGCUAGAGUGCAGGAGAGGAAGGUAGAAUUCCCGGUGUAGCGGUGAAAUGCGUAGAGAUCGGGAGGAAUACCAGUGGCGAAGGCGGCCUUCUGGACUGACACUGACACUGAGGUGCGAAAGCGUGGGUAGCAAACAGGAUUAGAUACCCCGGUAGUC